rnacentral:rRNA from 1 species
UGAAUACGAGAUGCUACGGCGUCGAAGCAGUGUAUGUCAGACUUCCAAGAAAAGCUCGCAAUGUCAUAAAUAAGGAAUGCCUGUACCAUAACCGACACAGGUGGGUAGGUAGAGUAUACUAAGGGGCGCGAGAUAACUCUCUCUAAGGAACUCGGCAAAAUAACUCCGUAACUUCGGGAGAAGGAGUGCCUUCUUUAAGAAGGUUGCAAUAACAAGAUCCAAGCAACUGUUUAUCAAAAACACAGGUCUCCGCUAAGUCGUAAGACGAUGUAUGGGGGCUGACGCCUGCCAGUGCCAGAAGGUUAAAGAAGCUGGUUAGCAAUAGCGAAGCUGGUGACUGAAGCCCUGGUGAACGGCGGCCGUAACUAUAACGGUCCUAAGGUAGCGAAAUUCCUUGUCGGGUAAGUUCCGACCCGCACGAAAGGCGUAAUGAUUUGGAUACUGUCUCGGAGAGGGACUCGGUGAAAUAGACUUGUCUGUGAAGAUGCGGACUACCUGCACCAGGACAGAAAGACCCUAUGAAGCUUUACUGUAACCUGAAAUUGAAAUUGGACUUUAUUUGCGCAGUAUAGGUGGGAGGCGUUGAAAGUAAUCUUGCGGGAUUAGUGGAGCCAUCAGUGAGAUACCACUCCUAUAAUGUUAGAUUUCUAACUUUGGAUCAUGAUCUGGUCAAAGAACAGUUUCAGGCGGGCAGUUUGACUGGGGCGGUCGCCUCCCAAAUGGUAACGGAGGCGUACAAAGGUUUCCUCUGAACGGGUAGAAAUCGUAUCUAGAGUGUAAAGGCAUAAGGAAGCUUGACUGUGAGACCUACAAGUCGAGCAGGGACGAAAGUCGGUCUUAGUGAUCUGACGGUGCUGAGUGGAAAGGCCGUCACUCAACGGAUAAAAGUUACUCUAGGAUAACAGGCUGAUCUCCCCCAAGAGUUCACAUCGACGGGGAGGUUUGGCACCUCGAUGUCGGCUCAUCGCAUCCUGGGGCGGUAGUACGUCCCAAGGGUUGGGCUGUUCGCCCAUGAAAGCGGUACGCGAGCUGGGUUCAGAACGUCGUGAGACAGUUCGGUCCAUAUCCGGUGUAGGCGUUAGAAUAUUGAGAGGAGCCUUCUCUAGUACGAGAGGACCGAGAAGGACAUACCUCUGGUGUACCAGUUAUCGUGCCAACGGUAAACGCUGGGUAGCUAUGUAUGGAGAGGAUAACCGCUGAAAGCAUCUAAGUGGGAAGCCCACCUCAAGAUGAGUAUUCUCAU